GGCGGCGUGCUUAACACAUGCAAGUCGAGCGGAAAGGCCCUUCGGGGUACUCGAGCGGCGAACGGGUGAGUAACACGUGAGUAACCUGCCCUGGACUUUGGGAUAACCCUCGGAAACGGGGGCUAAUACCGAAUAUCCACGCUUCAUCGCAUGGUGGUGUGUGGAAAGUUUUUCGGUCUGGGAUGGGCUCGCGGCCUAUCAGCUUGUUGGUGGGGUGAUGGCCUACCAAGGCGACGACGGGUAGCCGGCCUGAGAGGGCGACCGGCCACACUGGGACUGAGACACGGCCCAGACUCCUACGGGAGGCAGCAGUGGGGAAUAUUGCACAAUGGGCGGAAGCCUGAUGCAGCGACGCCGCGUGAGGGAUGACGGCCUUCGGGUUGUAAACCUCUUUCAGCAGGGACGAAGCGCAAGUGACGGUACCUGCAGAAGAAGCGCCGGCCAACUACGUGCCAGCAGCCGCGGUAAGACGUAGGGCGCGAGCGUUGUCCGGAUUUAUUGGGCGUAAAGAGCUCGUAGGCGGCUUGUCGCGUCGGCUGUGAAAACCCGUGGCUCAACUGCGGGCUUGCAGCCGAUACGGGCAGGCUAGAGUUCGGUAGGGGAGACUGGAAUUCCUGGUGUAGCGGUGAAAUGCGCAGAUAUCAGGAGGAACACCGGUGGCGAAGGCGGGUCUCUGGGCCGAUACUGACGCUGAGGAGCGAAAGCGUGGGGAGCGAACAGGAUUAGAUACCCUGGUAGUCCACGCUGUAAACGUUGGGCGCUAGGUGUGGGGGGCCUCUCCGGCUCUCUGUGCCGCAGCUAACGCAUUAAGCGCCCCGCCUGGGGAGUACGGCCGC
rnacentral:rRNA from 1 species